GGAGCUGAUUCGAACCUGGUUCCUAACCUUGGCUUUCAGAAGCAAUGUUCCACGCCCACACUGAAGCACCCGGUUCAUGCUCGACUCCUUCAGUCUUCCACGCCCACACUGAAGCACUGAUUCCACGAUGAUUAAGAGAAGUGAAUUUAUCUGAUUAACAAGUUUAUGUAUCUAGCUAUCUGAUUGUUUUAGAUCUGUUAAUUCUUCAUUUUGUGUGCUUUUUCUGUUUAUAUGUUCUGUUGUCGUCCCUAGAUGUUUGGAUUUUUGUUGUUUUUUUGGGUGAAUUAGGGUUUCGUGUGAUAUGAAUGUGUUGUUUUUGUUCAUACGUUUGGUUGAUUUGUGCUUGUGCUUUAUUCGUGUUCUAAAUGUUAAUUUGAGAACCAAAUGAAUUAAGAAUUGAAAACCUUUAGGUUUGUAUAGUUGUAACUGGUGAUUGGGAUGCAAUUCAGUAUUGAUAUGUAUUUGAAACGAAUUACUGAUAUGCAUCUGAGCAAAGAGUCGGGAGUGGUUGAUAUAAAUUUGUGUUCAACCUUUUCAGGUGAUCAGUAACAAGAAGUUACCCAAAUGAGGAUUCAUUAGACAAAUCCAUGGAGAGUGAUAGAAGAAUAUGUGGCAGAUUGAUUUGUUCUGUAGCCAAAGAAUCUCCACAGCAAGUCGAAGAAACGACCAUGGACAUGCGAAAGUAAUUUUUCUGAAAGACUACAAGUCACCUGAUUAUUGUUUUGGCACUGUAACAUACCUUAGCUCCUCAUCUGCAAUAUCUAAACUGCUUGAACAUACAAUUUGUGAUUAGCUUCCAUAUUCGAUAAAUGAAAUUACUUGAGUUGAUGCAUAUGCAUGCCAGUUUAUGCUCAAGUGGAUCUUAAAUUUACACUAGGUGAGGAACAAACAGUUGGCUGCUCCAACCACAGUGUUUAUUCGAGAUUCGAAGGUAUCACCAACAACUAAUUCUUCUUCAGUAUUUGGAUAUUCUCAGAUUAUCUGGCUUGUCACAAUCAAGAGUUUGCUAUAACGAGUAAGUAUUAAUACUGAGAUAUGCCAAUCGAAGAACACGACAUUAGAUGUUUGUUACUUUAUUCCCUCUCCUCAAGUCUUUGCAUAUGCUUUCUAUAUAUGAAUCUUCUUCUGUUAUUAUGUUUUUUGUCUUUUGACAAUAUUAGUUCUGAAUAUUUGAUGCAGGGUCUUUACCGGUCACUAGAAAUUUCUUCACACAAUGUGAAACAGCGGAUUUUUGGAAAAUCCUAAUUGUCGUAGUAUAUAUGAUGUAAAAACUUUUCAAUAUCAUGAGCCUGAUCAAGUGCCCCUAAUUUCAAUGAUCCAGUGAUACACUCUGGUAUCUCUGCUCCUUAUUUUAUCCGGCCUUUAAUAUAGGAAUUUCAUUGGGUUACUGAUUCUGCAAAUAUUGAAGAUAGACUUUCCAAAGCAAUAGUGUCAUUUGACAUUGAAGAUGAACAAUUCAAUUCUUAUUUACAUGGAUGGAUUCUCCUAAAAUUCCUCUUGAAGAGCGAGUGAUUAUCGAUACAUUAAAUGACUCACUUUCAUUGGUUGUUCCUCGCAAAAGUUUUCUAAACUCAAGCUUUUAUAUAUGGGUGAUGGAUGACUACGGGAAAUAGGUAUCUUGGACUAGGCAGUCCAUCACCCAUAUAUAAAAGCUUGAGUUUGGAAAACUUGUGUGAGGAAUAAUCAGUGAAAGUGAGUCAUUUAAUGUAUCCAUAAUCACGGGCUCUUCAAGAGGAAUUUUAAAAAGAUCUAGCCAUGAAAGAAAUUUGAAUUGUUCAUCUUCAAUGUCAAAUGACACUACUGCUUUGGAAAGUCUAUCUUCAAUAAUGCCUAUUUUAAAGGUCGGAUGAAAUAAGGAGCAGAGAUACCAAAAAGUAUCACUGGAUCAUUGAAAUGAGGGGCACUUGAUCACGCUCAUGACAUGGAAGAGUUGUUACAUCAUCAUGUGCACUACGACAGUUAGGAUAUUGGACAAAUGAUCUUCCUAUAGUGACAACAUAUGAGAGCGAUUUUUUUUAUGACCCUAAAAUCCAAGAACAGAAGAACACUCCAGUUUUUUGUAUUUCACAACAUUCUGCAUUUAUGUUGAAACUUUGGAAACAGUCACCUGGGAUAUUGAAUAUGCAGGAAGGGCUGUUCAGUGAUGUAAUUCCCCACCCUUGCAUAGUAUAUCUAUUAACACUGCAUGACCUAAUAUCUGAAGCAUUGUUGAAGAAUAAUAAAUUAUAACAUCCGGUUAAAAGUAUGAAAGGAAAUAUCUCCCUAAUAGUUUUAAAAUGUUACCCGCAGUUUAACACUAACUAAUGUUGCUUUUGUGAGCUUUGUCUACUUUAGUUUGUAGCGCACACACUAUUCAGUUAAAGCAAUGUGGCUUUCCGGAGCUUAAUUUGCUCUAAUUUGCUUUGUAGCACACACUAUUCAGUAAAACCUAAUGUGGCUUUUGGGAGGUUUUGCUCUCUUUUGUAUAGUAGGGCGCACAUCCUGUUGAGUAAUUUGAUGCAGGGUCUUUACCAGUCAUUAGGAAAUUUCUGCACACAAUGUGAAGCAGCAGAUUUUCGGAAUAUCCUAAUUGUUGUAGUGUAUAUGAUGUAACAACUCUUCAUGAAUGUCAUGAGCCUGAUCAAGUGCCCCUCAUUUCAAUGAUCCAGUGAUACACUUUGGUAUCUCUGCUUCUUAUUUUAUCUGGCCUUUAACAUAGGCAUUUCAUUGGGUUACUGAUUCUGCAGAUAUUGAUAUAGACUUUCCAAAGCAAUAGUGUCAUUUGACAUUGGAGAUGAACAAUUCAAACUUUUUACAUGGAUGGAUCCUCUUAAAAUUCCUCUUGAAGAGUGAGUGAUUAUCGAUACAUUGAACGACUUACUUUCAUUGGUUGUUCCUCACAAAAGUUUUCUAAACUCAAGCUUUUAUAUAUGGGUGAUGGAUCCUAUUUCCUGUAGUCAUCCAUCACCCAUAUAUAAAAGCUUGAGUUUAGAAAACUUGUGUGAGGAACAAUCAGUGCAAGUGAGUCAUUUAAUGUAUCGAUAAUAACUGGCUCUUCAAGAGGAAUUUUAAAAGGAUCUAGCCAUGAAAAAAUUUUGAAUUGUUCAUCUUCAAUGUCAAAUGACACUACUGCUUUGGAAAGUCUAUCUUCAAUACCUGCAGAAUCAGUAACCCAAUGAAAUGCCUAUUUUAAAGGUCAGAUGAAAUAAGGAGCAGAGAUACCAAAGAGUAUCACUGGAUCAUUGAAAUGAGGGUCACUUGUGUUAGGUAUCAGCCCAUUACAAGGUAACAUGGACUUUGGUGAUCCAAAAUAUAUAUAAGGAUAAUAAUUGUAUGUUUAGACAAUUAUUAUAAGAUAUGUCUUGGUCACAAAGAUAGAAGACCUAGUUGGAAUUGGAUUCUGAUUUGAGUUGAAGAUUUAAGAAUUGGAUUUCAAUUGCAGUUAGGUAUUUCAGAUUUAGAGUUAGAUUCUGAUUUGUCUAGUUUGAGAUGGCUAUAUAUACAUAGUCAUAUUGUGUUUGAUAGGUGUGCUCAAGAUGUAGACUUAGGUAUCGCUCGAGGGCGGAUACUUGGGUAGUAGGCUUGAGUAUCCAAGUUUAGUUUGAUUGUAUUAUUGAUAAUGGUUUUGAUUAAUAAUACAAGUUGGGACGUGGAUUUUCCACGUCAAAUAUAUUGUUGUGUGUCCGCUUUGUAUUAGAAGAUUGAAUCUCGUAUAUUAUCUCUAACAAGUGGUAUCAAGAGCCGAGGUUAGGAUCGUGAUUGAUGGGGUUGAGGAUAAAUUCGGGAUUCAAUCGAGAAUGCAGAGUAUGGUGAAUUUUGUUAGCAGGAAUAGGCAAAGUUACGUGCGGUAUGAUGGUUGACUUGCACCGUGGAUCAAUCAUGAUGGACUCAAUAUGGAAGAAGAUUAGAUGGUUCUUCUAGAUCGAGGCCGGAGGAUUGUGAAAGCAAGGAUCGGGUGACUCAUGGAUGGAAGAGCACUCGGGGUUGAUGCACGUGAUUUUGUAGAUGGAUAAAAUUUGGAAGAACGAGACAUGGAGAUUCUUGUUCGAGGGGAGGCAUUGGCGGAUGGACGUCGAUGUCUUGAUCGUGAUUGUUGAUUGUAUUGGGCUGAAGGGGAGGAUUGUUAGGUAUCAGCCCAUUACAAGGUAACAUGGACUUUGGUGAUCCAAAAUAUAUAAGGAUAAUAAUUAUAUGUUUAGACAAUUAUUAUAAGAUAUGUCUUGGUCACAAAGAUAGAAGACCUAGUUGGAAUUGGAUUCUGAUUUGAGUUGAAGAUUCAGAAUUGGAUUUCAAUUGCAGUUAGGUAUUUCAGAGUUAGAGUUAGAUUCUGAUUUGUCUAAUUUGAGAUUGCUAUAUAUACAUAGUCAUAUUGUGUUUGAUAGGUGUGCUCAAGAUGUAGACUUAGGUAUCGCUCGAGGGCGGAUACUUGGUUAGUAGGCUUGAGUAUCCAAGUUUAGUUUGAUUGUAUUAUUGAUAAUGGUUUUGAUUAAUAAUACAAGUUGGGACGUGGAUUUUCCACGUCAAAUAUAUUGUUGUGUGUCCGCUUUGUAUUAGAAGAUUGAAUCUCGUAUAUUAUCUCUAACAACUUGAUCAGGCUCAUGACAUGGAAGAGUUGUUACAUCAUGUGCACUACGACAAUUAGGAUAUUGGACAAAUGAUCUUUCUAUAAUGACAACAUAUGAGAGCGAUUUUUUUUUAUGACCCUAAAAUCCAAAAACGGAAGAACACUCCAGGUUUUGGUAUUUCACUACAUUCUGCCAUUAUGUCGAAACUUUGGAAACAUUCACCUAGGAUAUUGAAUAUGCACAAAGGGCUGUUCAGUGAUGUAAUUCCCUACCCUUGCUUAGUAUAUCUAUUAACACUGCAUGAUAUAAUAUCUGAAGCAUUGUUGAAGAAUAAUAAAUUAUAACAUCUGGUUAAAAAUUUGAAAGGAAAUAUAUCUCUGUAAUAGUUUUGAAAUGUUACGGAAAGUUUAACACUAACUAAUGUUGCUUUUGUGAGCUUUGUCUACUUUAAAUUGUAGCGCACACACUGUUCAGUUAAAGCAAUGUGGCUUUCGGGAGCUUAAUUUGCUCUAAUUUGCUUUGUAGAGCAUACAAUAUUCAGUAAAACCUAAUGUGGCUUUUGGGAGGUUUGCUCUCUCUUUUGUAUUGUAGGGCACACAUCCUGUUGAGUAAAAACUAAUGUAACAUGUGAUGGGAGCACAACAAUUUUUUGAAGUUGAUUAUUAUUAGGUACAUUUUCUAUCAGUAACCACCACAACAAUAAUGUCUGCGCGCGCGCGCACACACACACAUAUAUAUAUUCGAAAUGACAUGUCUUGUCUUGACUUAUGUUUUUUUGGAAGUAAUCUAUAUACAUAUAUAGUUGGCCAUGUAUUUUUCAGUCAUGAAAUUGAUACUAAAUUUUUUGAUCUUUUUAUCUUAAAAAUAUUUCUUUCCUUCUCUUUUAGUUUUCAAAUACUUUUAUUCACAUGUGUAUUGUUGAUGUGAUUUAUCUCUCUUGUAAUACUACCCAUUUACAGUUUGUAAAACUAGUUAUUACUAUUCUAUACUUCUACUACAAUCGGACCAUGGAAAAAAACUUUUCCCGGCCACCUGCUGCAACUUCAGUUAUGUUCUAUCCUGAGGAAAAUAAUAUCAUAUCGUCUGCAGGGAGGAUGGCUCUAUACUAAUCUAUGGUGUUCAGAAAGAUAUGGUCUUUAUCUAUAUAUACUGAUAUCUAAGUGUUGUACAUUAAAAAUGAAUUAUCAUUUACCGAUUAAGUUCUUAUUAUCUAUUUGGCUUAUAUAGAUGAUAUUGCCGAGAUAAUGCUCAUCAGAAGAGAGUGACUGGCCUUGCCUAUUCUAGUGCAUUAAAUAUCCUUUUAUCGUCUGGAUAAGAUGCUCAGGUACAUUUUUAAAGUGGAAGGCUAAUAGAAGAUAUCAGAUGCAUGGGCACAUUUCUGUCAAGUGUCACCAGGACCAAAGACAUUUGUUGGUUGUACAUGAAAGUUGUAUAGCCACUCCUGAUCGGGACCUAAUCUCGAGCCCUGCAAGCAGUAGAUUCCCGGGGAAUUGAUCAGUGAUGCUGCAUAUAUAUUCCUGUGAUGGCCAGUCCAUAUAUGCCUGCUUUCUUAACAGGCACAUUGUUUUCUUGGACUCGGCAUCUUUGACCAUAAUUUUUUUUUAUCAAUCCGAGUGCAUAUUUUACCUUCUAAGUAAAGCCGGGUGAUGUAUGCUUCUACUCUUGCGGCUAAUCCUACAAAUUAAAACCCAAUCAGUUUGCUCUCGGGCUUAGUGAUGGUGGCGUACUAGUUAUAGAACUUGAGGAAGAGGAUAUUGGGGUUGGCAUUGUAGCACGCCUUAGCUUGAGACCAGCAACAACUGAGAACUUGAUAUGAGCUUUUGUGAUAAUCAAAGCCCAGUGUCUCUUGAAAUCUAUAUGUUUUAAAACAUACAUCUGGGGAUUGGAUUAGUGCAAGAGUUGUGAAGUUUUUUUUUUUGCUUGACUAUGUUAAGUGAUAAAUGUUCAAUUCAAAUAUACACCUAGUGCAGAAUUUGAAAUGAGAAUUGUCAACAGAGUAUGAAAAUGAGAAAAGAAAGCCAAUAUUUUGGCAUAUACAA